rnacentral:rRNA from 1 species
UGGGGAAUUUUGGACAAUGGGCGCAAGCCUGAUCCAGCUAUUCCGCGUGUGGGAUGAAGGCCCUCGGGUUGUAAACCACUUUUGUAGAGAACGAAAAGACACCUUCGAAUAAAGGGUGUUGCUGACGGUACUCUAAGAAUAAGCACCGGCUAACUACGUGCCAGCAGCCGCGGUAAUACGUAGGGUGCGAGCGUUAAUCGGAAUUACUGGGCGUAAAGCGUGCGCAGGCGGUGAUGUAAGACAGUUGUGAAAUCCCCGGGCUCAACCUGGGAACUGCAUCUGUGACUGCAUCGCUGGAGUGCGGCAGAGGGGGAUGGAAUUCCGCGUGUAGCAGUGAAAUGCGUAGAUAUGCGGAGGAACACCGAUGGCGAAGGCAAUCCCCUGGGCCUGCACUGACGCUCAUGCACGAAAGCGUGGGGGAGCAAACAGGAUUAGAUACCC